UUUUCAGUUUCCCUCUCUCAGG
rnacentral:miRNA from 1 species